UCCACUUUGGGCCUAACAAACUCGACCAUAUCUCCUUGUCCGUGACAAAAAAUUUCUUUAGCACUAGGUCUCAACCUUAUAGGUUUUCAUGCGAACCUUGAAAUUCAAAUGCCUUUUCAUUUUUCUUCGAUAAUAUUGCUUUCUUCAUAUGGGAGGGCUCUCGUUUUUUCUCUAAGAGCUUUAGGCUUGCGUUCAUAGCUUCUUCAUUCUGUUUUUCAUCAAAGUUCAACUUCAUUGCCGAACUCAAGCCUAAAUCCAUCAGAAUCAUAACCCCGAUUCCAUAAGCUAAAGAGAAAGGUGUUGUCCUGUGAUAGUCCUGGUGGUGGUGUUGCAUGACCACAAAAUUUAUGGUAUCCACCUUAUAGUGAUUAAAUCCUGAAGUCUAUAUCUUAGCCCCUCAAGCUGCAGACAGGUUAAACCGCAGGUUGUGCCUCAAACUGACCAGUGCUCAAGAGCCCUUCAACUGAUCUGUCAAAGUGUCAAGCAAGUCGUUUCCCAUCUUUGCACCUUGUCUUCCAAUAGAGCUCCUGCCUUCUAGGAGAAUAUUUGUCUUUCAAGAACUUUUCAGGAAUCAAACUCACGAUCUCUGAUCUGCCAGCUUUGAAGCGCCCUCAUCUUUGUCAAUUGAAAUGUGUCCGGAGGGGGCAAAAAUAAUUUAUUUUUUAUUAAACUUAGAAUAGGGGGUCUUCCCUUACUAGUGUAGUUACUAUUUAGCAAAUGGAUAAGGUUUUCUUCUGCUGUCAAAAGUACCCAGAAACAGAAAGGUGGGAAAUUUUCUCCCGUGGUCCACAAACAUUACCACUUGUUUCAA